AGGAUCAUUAUUGAAAUAAAUCUGAUAAGUUGUUGCUGGCUCUCUAGGGAGCAUGUGCACACUUGUCAUCUUUGUAUCUUCACCUGUGCAUCUUUUGUAGACCUGAGAAUCUCUCUGAAUGCUUUUAGCGCUUAGGAUUGAGGAUUGACUUGAUGUCUUUUCUUACAGUUUCAGGUCUAUGUUUUUCAUAUACCCCAAAUGUAUGUUUAUAGAAUGUAAUUAAUGGGCCUUURUGCCUAUAAACAUUUACAACUUUCAGCAACGGAUCUCUUGGCUCUCGCAUCGAUGAAGAACGCAGCGAAAUGCGAUAAGUAAUGUGAAUUGCAGAAUUCAGUGAAUCAUCGAAUCUUUGAACGCACCUUGCGCUCCUUGGUAUUCCGAGGAGCAUGCCUGUUUGAGUGUCAUUAAUAUCUAUCAACCUAUUUUAUGGGUUGGAUUUGGGGGUUUGCUGGUCCUUCUUGAGGUCAGCUCUCCUUAAAUGCAUUAGCGGACAACAUUUUGCCAACUGUUCAUUGGUGUGAUAAUUAUCUACGCUAUUGACGUGAAGCAAGGUUCAGCUUAUAACAGUCCAUUGACUUGGACAAAUUUAUUUUAUUAAUGUGACCUCAAAUCAGGUAGGACUACCCGCUGAACUUAA
rnacentral:rRNA from 1 species